rnacentral:rRNA from 1 species
GACGAACGCUGGCGGCGUGCCUAAUACAUGCAAGUCGAACGAACUCUGGUAUUGAUUGGUGCUUGCAUCAUGAUUUACAUUUGAGUGAGUGGCGAACUGGUGAGUAACACGUGGGAAACCUGCCCAGAAGCGGGGGAUAACACCUGGAAACAGAUGCUAAUACCGCAUAACAACUUGGACCGCAUGGUCCGAGCUUGAAAGAUGGCUUCGGCUAUCACUUUUGGAUGGUCCCGCGGCGUAUUAGCUAGAUGGUGGGGUAACGGCUCACCAUGGCAAUGAUACGUAGCCGACCUGAGAGGGUAAUCGGCCACAUUGGGACUGAGACACGGCCCAAACUCCUACGGGAGGCAGCAGUAGGGAAUCUUCCACAAUGGACGAAAGUCUGAUGGAGCAACGCCGCGUGAGUGAAGAAGGGUUUCGGCUCGUAAAACUCUGUUGUUAAAGAAGAACAUAUCUGAGAGUAACUGUUCAGGUAUUGACGGUAUUUAACCAGAAAGCCACGGCUAACUACGUGCCAGCAGCCGCGGUAAUACGUAGGUGGCAAGCGUUGUCCGGAUUUAUUGGGCGUAAAGCGAGCGCAGGCGGUUUUUUAAGUCUGAUGUGAAAGCCUUCGGCUCAACCGAAGAAGUGCAUCGGAAACUGGGAAACUUGAGUGCAGAAGAGGACAGUGGAACUCCAUGUGUAGCGGUGAAAUGCGUAGAUAUAUGGAAGAACACCAGUGGCGAAGGCGGCUGUCUGGUCUGUAACUGACGCUGAGGCUCGAAAGUAUGGGUAGCAAACAGGAUUAGAUACCCUGGUAGUCCAUACCGUAAACGAUGAAUGCUAAGUGUUGGAGGGUUUCCGCCCUUCAGUGCUGCAGCUAACGCAUUAAGCAUUCCGCCUGGGGAGUACGGCCGCAAGGCUGAAACUCAAAGGAAUUGACGGGGGCCCGCACAAGCGGUGGAGCAUGUGGUUUAAUUCGAAGCUACACGAAGAACCUUACCAGGUCUUGACAUACUAUGCAAAUCUAAGAGAUUAGACGUUCCCUUCGGGGACAUGGAUACAGGUGGUGCAUGGUUGUCGUCAGCUCGUGUCGUGAGAUGUUGGGUUAAGUCCCGCAACGAGCGCAACCCUUAUUAUCAGUUGCCAGCAUUAAGUUGGGCACUCUGGUGAGACUGCCGGUGAUAAACCGGAGGAAGGUGGGGAUGACGUCAAAUCAUCAUGCCCCUUAUGACCUGGGCUACACACGUGCUACAAUGGAUGGUACAACGAGUUGCGAACUCGCGAGAGUAAGCUAAUCUCUUAAAGCCAUUCUCAGUUCGGAUUGUAGGCUGCAACUCGCCUACAUGAAGUCGGAAUCGCUAGUAAUCGCGGAUCAGCAUGCCGCGGUGAAUACGUUCCCGGGCCUUGUACACACCGCCCGUCACACCAUGAGAGUUUGUAACACCCAAAGUCGGUGGGGUAACCUUUUAGGAACCAGCCGCCUAAGGUGGGACAGAUGAUUAGGGUG